rnacentral:lncRNA from 1 species
ACACAAAUAAUUAGUAAAUUUGCUACACUUAUCUUUAUGAGCAAGAACUUGCUCCAAAGUAAAAUUAUGUAUUCACUUUUUCUCGGUUGAAUCCGGCUGAAUACCAUUAUAGUCAGUGAGCAUGACCUUAAGAAAUACUGUAUGAACCUAUAUAAAAAUAAAGGAUUACCUUGAUCAUUCCAGAAAAAUGAAGGAUCAUACAAACCACUCAUAUACUCAAUCUGGUUCUGUCUUUCAACUUUUCUUCAUCCCUUUCUGACUUCCAUUCCCAAUAUUACUUAUAGCUCUUUGCAUCUGCUCUUGAAGCUAAUUCUAAACUUUGAAAAGUACAAUUGCUACUUGCAUCUUGACUACUCAGAAGAACUUGAGAGUCUAGAUAAACCAUAAAACAUAGUAUAAACUUCAUAUAGCUACACCCAUAUUAAAGCCUAACCAACCAACACAUCAUCAUCUCAUAGCUACACCGCCCAUAUUCUAUGCCUCAUCAUCAACAAAUUUCAUAUCUAUGCCCUUACUAACAAACCCAUAAGAAGGCGUAUACCAUCACUGAAAAUAUUCACACAAUCCAUUAUUAUAAACUGACAAGGAAUUUAAAUCAUCAUAUUCAUACAUGAAGUAACAAAAAUCGAUUUUAAUAUAUUAGUAAUAGAUAAUAUAAAAUGAAAUAAUAAUACUGAUAUGGUAACAGUAGCUUUCAUGUUUACAAAUCCGUUUUUGAUUUAUAUUGGCUACUUUAUAUAUUUUGAACCUUCCCUUCCCUUCCCACUCCCACGCUGAUAGAUUAAUUUGAACAUAAGCAAGCAAGCAUUAUCAUUACUGAGGGUCAGUCAGUCACAGAUCGUGAAAGCGCCUUUUUACUCUCUUUCUUCUUCUUCCCUUCCUUCCUUGGGAUUGGGAUUUCUGCUCUUUUUACAGACAGAUCUUUCUCGUUCGGUGACUGACUGCUGUUGGUUGAAUUGGUACUGCCUGCUCUUCUUCUUCUUGUAACAGAGGUGGAAAUUCAAGGUUCGCUGGCAUUCAUUACUUACACUAUGCUUCACUCCACACUUCGCUUGUGUGUGUACGGCACGAAAUCAAGUAUUCGAAAUAUAAUCUCAACUCUGAAGCAACAAUCUAUCGCUGGCUUUACCGUAAAUAAAACUAUUAUUACUGCCGAAUUGGUGGAAGAUGAAGAAGAGGGUCAGAGUGUUGAAAUUAGGGUUUUGUUAAGGGAGAUGGCUAUGAUUGCAGAUGCUUUAUGUGAUUUGAUGAAGAAUUGUUUUUGUUGUGAUGAAAGAAAACUUAUACGAAACAUGUUAUACGAAAUCAUGAAUAAUAUUAAGGGUAAAAUUGAAUGUAAAUAUCUAUAGGUGUUCUCUUCUUUUUUUUAAAAGAUCAUAACCAUCCAUUUGAUCUAAAGGUAUUUUUUAAGUGCCUCACCGGUGAGGGAUUUGAUAGCUCCCUCGUGUUAGAAGCCACCGU